rnacentral:rRNA from 1 species
AGAAUAAGCACCGGCUAAUUCCGUGCCAGCAGCCGCGGUAAUACGGAAGGUGCAAGCGUUAAUCGGAAUUACUGGGCGUAAAGCGCGCGUAGGUGGUUUGUUAAGUUGGAUGUGAAAGCCCUGGGCUCAACCUAGGAACUGCAUCCAAAACUAACUCACUAGAGUACGAUAGAGGGAGGUAGAAUUCAUAGUGUAGCGGUGGAAUGCGUAGAUAUUAUGAAGAAUACCAGUGGCGAAGGCGGCCUCCUGGAUCUGUACUGACACUAAGGUGCGAAAGCGUGGGUAGCGAACAGGAUUAGAUACCCUGGUAGUCCACGCCGUAAACGAUGACAACUAGCUGUUGGGAGACAAUGUCUUUCAGUGGCGCAGCUAACGUUUUAAGUUGUCCGCCUGGGGAGUACGGCCGCAAGGCUAAAACUCAAAUGAAUUGACGGGGACCCGCACAAGCGGUGGAGCAUGUGGUUUAAUUCGAUGCAACGCGAAAAACCUUACCUACUCUUGACAUACUUGGAAGCUCUUGUAAUGAGAGUGUGCCUUUUGGAGCCAAGAUACAGGUGCUGCAUGGCUGUCGUCAGCUCGUGUCGUGAGAUGUUCCGUUAAGUCGGAUAACGAGCGCAACCCUUACCCUUAUUUGCCAGCGAUUCGGUCGGGAACUAUAAGGGGACUGCCGGUGAUAAACCGGAGGAAGGUGAGGACGACGUCAAGUCAUCAUGGCCCUUACGAGUAGGGCUACACACGUGCUACAAUGGGGAAUACAGACGGACGCUAAGCCGCGAGGUGGUGCUAAUCCUAUAAAGUUCUUCGUAGUCCGGAUUGGAGUCUGCAACUCGACUCCAUGAAGUCGGAAUCGCUAGUAAUCGCGAAUCAGCAUGUCGCGGUGAAUACGUUCUCGGGUCUUGUACACACCGCCCGUCACACCAUGGAAGUGGAUUGCACCAGAAGUAGAUAGU